UGAAUACCUAGGUGUGAGUAACUGAACAGCUGAUGAAGCAAUGGAGAAAGCCAUCGUCAGGAUUUUAUAACUGAUCUGACCUUUGGAACACCAAGGACGUAUGGCACACUGAUUUUUCUUGGGAAAGCAGGAAUGCACUUCCUCACUAUCACAAAUUAUGCAGUUGAAUUUCCUGCAUUUGGGGAAAUCACAGGGGUAAGCACACCUACGGAGUGCAACAGAUGAGCCUCGCCCUGGGAAAACCACAUUCACGGUCAUGGCAUCUCCCCUGCCAGUCAGGUUACAUCUGGUGAGCCCUGAAGAAAGCUCAACAGGACUGACAUGGGACGACCGUCCACUCUUCAUCUUGCCCAGAGACCACCCAUUUAAUUACCGGUUGGAGGACGUCCCUCUCCACUUGGAGUGGAUCAAAGACUAUAGGGACCAACACGAGAAAGUUUGAUCCUUGCCAGAUCAAUAUUGGGUGCUGAACGAGAGCCAAGAAAACCUUUAUUUUGAGCUAUUUACAGCUUUCAAUAUUGAGUAAAGUACACAUCUAUAAACAAAAU